rnacentral:rRNA from 2 species
CACGUAGGGGGCAAGCGUUGUCCGGAUUUAUUGGGCGUAAAGAGCUCGUAGGUGGUUCGGUAAGUCGGGUGUGAAACCUCCAGGCUCAACCUGGAGACGCCACCCGAUACUGCUGUGACUGGAGUCCGGUAGGGGAGCGUGGAAUUCCUGGUGUAGCGGUGAAAUGCGCAGAUAUCAGGAGGAACACCAGCGGCGAAGGCGGCGCUCUGGGCCGGUACUGACACUGAGGAGCGAAAGCGUGGGUAGCAAACAGG